rnacentral:rRNA from 1 species
UUGACUUUGUAUAUAAAAAUAGUAAACAGACAUAUAUUUUGGACCGAAGAUUGUACAUGGACAUUGGACAAGCUUUGCAUAAAAAGUACAAAACUACUUUUUUGACAUACACGAGUCCUCCAUAUGAAAGCAGAACAGGGGUCGAGAGGACAAGCUAGGUUGUAGUAGUGGGCAUCUUCUAACAAACCGGCCGUAGCUUACCAAAUCGCCAUAAAGGAAGGCUUGGAGCUAUGUGCACAUAUGUGUGGCCCAUGAAUCUUCCAAAGGACCAUGCAUGAAUGCUAGGUGACAAAUGUACUUGGAUCGCCAUGACAUCAGAGAGAUGCGUGGUAGUUACACAUGCCAACAAAAAGUUACAACUAAUUACACAGACGUGCACUCACAUGCAUAUCCUUGUGCUAAAAACUUAAACUAAAUUACGAGUGCUAACAAUUUUCCUAAAAAUACAUCCAAGUAUCUUCUUAUGCUGUCAAUUUUCAUGGGAAAUACUGUUACCAUGGCCCCUCUUGCAACAUAUUUACAGCUUUACAUAUUUUCCUUUCAUUUUUUUUUGUGAAAAAAGACCCUUGCCAUCAUGUUCCCUUUGAAAAAUUACGUCUAAAAGGAAUUCAGACAUUUGCAUGUUCAUUUGUUUUCUGCAAUGUAUUUUCAUUCUGCAAGAGUGAGAUUAACAACAUCCAUAUGCCAAAGAAAAUGGGGCGGGAAAAUAUAUUUUGUGAUGUGUGAUAUGGUGAAACGUGUCUCUUGUAUACUAGUACUAGGCCCAAAAGAGGAGGAAAGUGUGGGCAAUCAUGCGUGCAAAGGGGGAUCAUGAAAAGAUGGAUGGACGGCAGUUUCAUCCUUCAAGCAAGGGCCAAUCAUUCAAGCUGUACUACCAGCUCUUCUGUAGACAUAUCUUGCAAGCAAGAAUUGAUAACCCAUUGUCUUGAUGGACAUGACAACUCAGUUCAUAAUUCUUUUCUUUUCCACACCCACUGUUCGAUCUGUCCCUGAAGGAAUUAACAAGAUUGAUCAUAUCCACCUUUCGUUUAAAUUAUCACUACUUGGUAUUUGUUAAUUCAGCGCCAUUAUCGUCAAGUCCAAAAUGAACGAACAUAGUCAUCCCUGAUGGAAAUAAUUUGUAAUUCAGCAGCAUGAUUCCAAUAUCACUAUGCAAGAUAUAAGAGACAGUGGUGUUAACAUACCCAUACAUCGCAUUUACAAGUGGAUAAUACCACGACAAAUCCACAAAGGAAAUAAUGGAGGUGCAACAAGGAUCAAUCAAUGCGUGAGAUCAAGAAGAAUAAUGCUGCUCAGAUACAGUCAUACAGAUCAUGCAACAAUUUUUUUGGUUCUUCUGCAUCCAACUCUUCAGUUGCUGGGAAAAAAUAUUACUUUGUGCCCCUAACAAUCAUCAAGACAUACAAGAUUAAGCUAGGCAUGCCAUAGAUAUGGAACUAAACCCCCUUUAUGGUUAUAAGAAGAUCAAGAAAGCCAUAAUUAUGGCAGUUAGUUUUCAUCAAUUUCAUCCUGCAAAUGUUCUGGCAAGAUAUCGACCUAGCUACCUACAACAGUUUACUAGGAAAAUACCGAUGGAUCAUUAACAUCCAAGUCUGAAAAAUAAGCACAUACAUAAUUAACCUGAGUACUGCCAAAGCAGCCUAAACAGUAAGUAUAAAAUAACAUAACUAAUGUCAAAGGCUGCCUAAGCAGUCUAUAGCAUCUCACAUAUGCCAAAAAAAAGGGACAUAAAUACCUAAAUUCCGAUCUAAAUAAAUAACUAAAUCACAAGCCACAAGAUCGAUUCAGAUAUUACUACCGGGACAGGUCAAUUUACACGUCACCUCAUGAAAGAAAACUUUCGUUCUUGGCCGGUAAAUCUUGGAGAGGAAAGAAAAAGGAAUAAUCGACAGGAUCUGAAGAAAACUACACUAGUAACACCCAAGAAACCCAGAUCCGUUCUACUAUGAAAGAUCGAAAGAAAAGAACCAAGACAGAAUCAACCUACACAGGAAUUAAUGACUAGCCAGGCAGGCACGGCCGAGAAUCGAUCGGCCGUCAUGAGGCAGUGAGGCUAGUUGGAUGGAUCUCGCCUUGAGGAUAACCUGCGGGAAGGGUAGUAGAUGGUCCAUCCAUCCAUGGAUAGAUUUCAUAGGAUUUUAGGGUUUUCGUUGUGCUCCGACCAGCAGAUGAAACUCCAGCAUGACCUGAUUGACAUGGAUUCUGAUCCAUGACUUAGGUCAUCAGAUCAUGCUGGCAGCUUCACCAGCUUGUGGUGCACCUUGAUCUACCCACCAAAGAGAAAGGGGAAUAACUCUGGUACUUUGGCGAGAGAGAGAGAGAGAG